rnacentral:rRNA from 1 species
UACAGAGGGUGCGAACGUUGCUCGGAAUUACUGGGCGUAAAGCGCGUGUAGGCGGAUCCAUAAGUCGGGCGUGAAAUCCCCAGGCUCAACCUGGGAACUGCGCUCGAAACUGUGGGUCUAGAGUGUCGGAGAGGAUGGCGGAAUUCCUGGUGUAGAGGUGAAAUUCGUAGAUAUCAGGAGGAACACCGGUGGCGAAGGCGGCCAUCUGGACGACAACUGACGCUGAGACGCGAAAGCGUGGGGAGCAAACAGG